AUAGAGAUGACGAGUCCCAAAUAGGACGAAACGCGCAUCCUGGAU
rnacentral:hammerhead_ribozyme from 1 species